AUGGCCUCUCUAAAACGGUCGGCGCUCAAACUUCAACAGCGGAGAACCUCGUCCGUUUCACAUCCAACCGAUGGAGAUUAUGCAGAGGCUUCAAGAUUGAGAGAGUCUUCAGAUUCUAUGGUACAAGCUGGAUUAGCUUUCAAACAUGGCAUGGAAUUGAAGUCCAUUAGCAAGGCGAGUCUUGAAGAUAAAUUGCAAGGCAAGGCUAAAUGA